UCCUCGUUAGCUCGGUGGUAGAGCAGUCGGUUGUUAACUGAUUGGUCAUAGGUUCGAAUCCUACUUGGGGAG
rfam:Beta vulgaris subsp. vulgaris Bvchr3.sca003.con0130.1, whole genome shotgun sequence.